CCUUACUUAGGGGAUGUACUUUGUCAGGCCUUCAUAUUUUUGGAUGAAGGUUAGAAAGUCAAUUAAAAGUUGAAAGUUAUUUUUAUAUAGUUUUGAUUCUUAUUUGUAUAGUUUUAAUUCUAAGUGUAUGAUGAUGAGAACACCAAUCGACUCAAGUUCUCCUUAUAAAAUCAUGGCGAUGAUAAUGAUGUAUUUUCACCAAUUGGUG
rnacentral:lncRNA from 1 species